rnacentral:misc_RNA from 1 species
CUAUCACUCUCGACUCUCUGUCGAUACACGUAUGGACAAAAGAGGGGACGGCAUCUUUCAAAUCGCCACGGCAACGUUCAUCACGAGAUAAGAAGAAUCGCGGGAAGGAAAAUCGAGACGAGGGAGCGAGGGGCACCUAGCCCUUUGGCGAGCUCGAAGGAUGCAGCUCCCAGGCGGGAGCACUAGAAUUCCGCCCGCGAGAGCACCGGCCUCAGUUCUCGUGAUUAUAAACGGAAGCAACAUCGUAUCGAAGACUGUGACGAAGAAACGUAACGGAAAGUGUAGCAACAGUAGCGAAAACGGCGGACCCGGUACGAGCAGCGAUAGAUACAUAAAAAGGAAUAACGAUAGGAAUAACGAUCCAGAGAACGUGCCGCGUCUCCUGAUAAGAAAUCGCCAUCCCGAGACGAGGACGAGCCGCCGACAAGCCCGAGUCACCGAGAAGCCCCAGCUGUUGGCGUCAGCCCCAAGGCGGAAGGAUCGGGGCGAGGAAUAG